GAUGAACGCUGGCGGCGCGCCUAACACAUGCAAGUCGAACGGACGAGGUUCCUUCGGGAACCGAGCUAGUGGCGGACGGGUGAGUAACGCGUGAGUAACCUGCCCUUAUGAACGGAAUAACGUUUCGAAAGGAACGCUAAUACCGUAUAAUCCAUUUGGAUGGCAUCGUCCGGAUGGCAAAGAUUUAUCGCAUAAGGAUGGACUCGCGUCCCAUUAGAUAGUUGGUGAGGUAACGGCCCACCAAGUCAACGAUGGGUAGCCGGACUGAGAGGUUGAACGGCCACAUUGGAACUGAGACACGGCCCAGACUCCUACGGGAGGCAGCAGUGGGGGAUAUUGCACAAUGGGGGAAACCCUGAUGCAACAACGCCGCGUGAGGGAAGAAGGUUUUUCGGAUUGUAAACCUCUGUUUUUAGUGAAGAAACAAAUGACGGUAGCUAAAGAGGAAGCCACGGCUAACUACGUG
rnacentral:rRNA from 1 species